CACGUAGGGGGCGAGCGUUGUCCGGAUUUAUUGGGCGUAAAGAGCUCGUAGGCGGUUCGGCAAGUCGGGUGUGAAAUUUCGAGGCUCAACCUCGAAACGCCACUCGAUACUGCUGUGACUGGAGUCCGGUAGAGGAGUGCGGAAUUCCGUGGUGUAGCGGUGAAAUGCGCAGAUAUCAGGAGGAACACCAACGGCGAAGGCAGCACUCUGGGCCGGUACUGACGCUGAGGAGCGAAAGCGUGGGGAGCAAAACGGAUUAGAUACCC
rnacentral:rRNA from 1 species